AGUAACGGCGAGUGAAGCGGUACUAGCUCAAAUUUGAAAUCUGGCGCCCUCGGCGUCCGAAUUGUAAUUUGUAGACGAUGCUUUGGGUAGGGGCCCGGCCUAAGUUCCUUGGAACAGGACGUCAUAGAGGGUGAGAAUCCCGUAUGUGGCAGGUGCCCCCCGCCCGUGUAAAGCUCGUUCGACGAGUCGAGUUGUUUGGGAAUGCAGCUCAAAAUGGGAGGUAAAUUUCUUCUAAAGCUAAAUACUGGCCAGAGACCGAUAGCGAACAAGUAGAGUGAUCGAAAGAUGAAAAGCACUUUGGAAAGAGAGUUAAACAGUACGUGAAAUUGUUGAAAGGGAAGCGCUUGCAAUCAGACUUGGGGGCCGUGGAUCAUCCAGGCUUCGGGCCUGGUGCACUCGGCGGCCCACAGGCCAGCAUCGGUUCGGGUGGUUGGAGAAAGGCCCUAGGAACGUAGCUCCUCUCGGGGAGUGUUAUAGCCUAGGGCGCCAUGCAGCCUACCUGGACCGAGGACCGCGCUUCGGCUAGGAUGCUGGCGUAAUGAUUGUAAGCGACCCGUCUUGAAACACGGACCAAGGAGUCUAACAUCUAUGCGAGUGUUUGGGUGGUAAACCCAUGCGCGAAAUGAAAGUGAACGGAGGUGAGAACCCUGAAGGGUGCAUCAUCGACCGAUCCUGAUGUCUUCGGAUGGAU
rnacentral:rRNA from 1 species